UCAACCUUGCACUUCCCCGUCCGACCCAAAUACUUAACAAAUUCUGUCAAGGUAGCCCACUGCGUGGAGUUCAUAUGUACGUGAUGCCUGUCGUGGAUAUAUUCAUUGUAAACGACGGUAGCAGCCACCCGCGAGAACCGGUGGCUCCGCCGCAUGAGGUCGAGGAACGUGUUCUCGAACUCGUCGGAGUAACCUUCGACGAUGCGGUGAGGGUUUUGACCAAAGAUUUGCAUCUGACGCUGGUGGCU
rnacentral:misc_RNA from 1 species